rnacentral:rRNA from 1 species
AUUGAACGCUGGCGGCAGGCCUAACACAUGCAAGUCGAACGGUAACAGGAAGAAGCUUGCUUCUUUGCUGACGAGUGGCGGACGGGUGAGUAAUGUCUGGGAAACUGCCUGAUGGAGGGGGAUAACUACUGGAAACGGUAGCUAAUACCGCAUAACGUCGCAAGACCAAAGAGGGGGACCUUCGGGCCUCUUGCCAUCGGAUGUGCCCAGAUGGGAUUAGCUAGUAGGUGGGGUAACGGCUCACCUAGGCGACGAUCCCUAGCUGGUCUGAGAGGAUGACCAGCCACACUGGAACUGAGACACGGUCCAGACUCCUACGGGAGGCAGCAGUGGGGAAUAUUGGACAAUGGGCGAAAGCCUGAUGCAGCCAUGCCGCGUGUGUGAAGAAGGCCUUCGGGUUGUAAAGUACUUUCGGCGGGGAAGAAGGGAGUAACGUUAAUACCUUCGCUGGUUGACGGUACCGGAAGAAGAAGCACCGGCUAACUACGUG